CUCUCUCUCUCUUCUUUCUCUCUCCUCCAGCUACGGCCGAAAACCUAGAUCUGAUUCACUACCGGAGCCUGAAAAACUCGUCGGCUUCGAAAUUCCUAUCUGGGUUUUGCUCAGAAUUGAAUUUCGGUAAUUGGGUUCUUCUCAAAAUUCAAAAUUUCCAACAGCCUUGAGCUUCUGGAUAUUGAUGGCAACCCCAGAAACCGCAGCUCCUCCAGCAACCCCUACUGAGAAUAAUGAGAUGGUGCCGAAAAAUGAGAUGAUACAUGAGCAUGGUGAUGAGAUGGUGCCGCAAAAUGAGAUGAUACAUGAGCAAAGC
rnacentral:misc_RNA from 1 species